UACGAAGGGGGCUAGCGUUGCUCGGAAUUACUGGGCGUAAAGGGAGCGUAGGCGGAUAGUUCAGUCAGAGGUGAAAGCCCAGGGCUCAACCUUGGAACUGCCUUUGAUACUGGCUAUCUUGAGUUUGGGAGAGGUAUGUGGAACUCCGAGUGUAGAGGUGAAAUUCGUAGAUAUUCGGAAGAACACCAGUGGCGAAGGCGACAUACUGGCCCAAUACUGAC
rnacentral:rRNA from 1 species